UCGGAAUUGAGUUUCCAAUAACAAGCAAAGGAAUCAAGCGAUUCGAAUCAGCAAAUGAGGAUUUUAGCAUCAAUGUUUAUGAAGUCGAUGAGAAUGGAAAAAACGUUGUGGGACCCACAGUGAGGACUAAGAAAAUUCGGACUCACCACAUAAACUUGCUUGGAAUUAAUAGUGAUAAUAUGCAAAUGAUGCAUUAUGCAUAUAUAACGUGCAUGAGAAAAUUAUGUUAUUCACAACAUAGUAAAUCCCAUAAUACUGCAUAUUUUUGCGAGAACUGCUUGCAAUUUUAUAGUACAACAAAUACUAUACAUGACACUAAAGAGUGUGGAAAAGUUGCUGCUUUGUAUCCUGAACCUAAUACCAAAACUGUAUUCAAAAGUUUUUCUAAAAAACUAUCUCCACCAGUAGUAAUUUAUGCUGACAUCGAAGCAGUUUUGGAAAAUUACCAUAUAAAUCUUAAUGAUCCAUCAAAAUCAUCAACUACUAUGGCACAGAGGCAUACAGGAUGUGCAGCAUCAUUUUAUAUUGUACAUAAAUACAAUGAACAUCUAAAUGAGAUGUGGACAUACGAAGGACCGGAUUGUAUCCAAAAAUUUUGUCAAGCACUUAGGAUGAAAACCGAUGGACUUUAUGAGAAGUACUGGAAGUCCUAUAAAAAACAAAUCUAUCAGUUUAACAUUUGGGAUGAGGAUUAUCAGGAACACGGUGAUUGCUAUGCCUGCGAGAAACAAAUUUCUGAUGAUGAUCGAGAAAAAUUCUUUGAUCAGUUUACAGGACAAUAUGUAGGUCCUAUUCAUAAGCUGUGUAAACAGACAUUUAGAUAAAGCGAUCCCUUUUUCCCGGUAGUUUUUCAUAACUUGUCUCGUUAUGAUAUACAUUUAUUUGUUACGUCAAUAAAAGAUGAACUAAGACCCA